UGAGGGUCAGAGCCAGCUGCCCUGCUGCCCAGCCCUUGAGGACACAGAGUCACACUCCUCUCCCACCCUCAAGUGCCUCGUGAACCCCUCUCUCCAGGAGGAGGGCAUCAUGACGCACUAGACCUGGCUGCAGGUGGUGAGUGAAUGUAGCUGCGCCCUGAGCAGAGGGGAGAGGGGCCAUGAGGAGGCUGUUUUGGGGCCCUUCUGGAGCAGGGCCGGAGAAGGGUAGGAGAUUGAAGAGGUGCAACCAGCGGAAAUGCCCAGCCCCGGGACCAGGGGACUAGGGACAGGAGCCUACCCUGUGCGGCUCUGAGGAGUGGCUGUGAGCACUGCACGCAGGACUGAGAAAGCCCGGGAUAAGCCCGGAGUGCAGGGAAACCCGCAGCCCCCUGGGCAGAUGUGGAGAAGAAUCUGGACAAGCUGACCGAGACCCCGGUACCGGGGGUCUCCGUGUGUGCCUGGCUGCGUGAUCAGCUGGUUUCCUGUUUGCUGUCACCUUCCGAUGAGUCUCCCUCUAAGUGUCAACAUGAAUUUUGAAGAAUCUGCAUUCAAUUCCAUAUCAGCCUGAGUUAAAAACUUUAGAAUGGGGAAUCCACCUCUCGCUUUAUAACCACCUACUUCCUGUCACUCGUCAUUUUCUAAAUAAAUGAGAAGUUCCCUUCAAAGCUUAUAAGCAUCUUCUAAACCCAGAAACAAAUAUAGUUGUUUAUUUUCUUCAUGUUAAGGCUACAGAAACCUGCCCUUUGCAAAGAAAAAUAUAUAUAUAUCCUGCUUAAUGUAGAUUUUUCUUAUAACAAUAACACUAACCUUAAAAAAACAAAAAAACAAAAACAAAAACAAAAAACCUCAUGUUGAAAAAUAGUAUCCUGGCUGG
rnacentral:lncRNA from 1 species